GAUGAACGCUGGCGGCGUGCCUAAUACAUGCAAGUCGAGCGAACAGACGAGGAGCUUGCUCCUCUGACGUUAGCGGCGGACGGGUGAGUAACACGUGGAUAACCUACCUAUAAUACUGGGAUAACUUCGGGAAACCGGAGCUAAUACCGGAUAAUAUAUUGAACCGCAUGGUUCAAUAGUGAAAUACGGUUUUUCUGUCACUUAUAGAUGGAUCCGCGCCGCAUUAGCUAGUUGGUAAGGUAACGGCUUACCAAGGCGACGAUGCGUAGCCGACCUGAGAGGGUGAUCGGCCACACUGGAACUGAGACACGGUCCAGACGCCUACGGGAGGCAGCAGUAGGGAAUCUUCCGCAAUGGGCGAAAGCCUGACGGAGCAAAGCCGCGUGAGUGAUGAAGGUCUUCGGAUCGUAAAACUCUGUUAUUAGGGAAGAACAAAUGUGUAAGUAACUAUGCACGUCUUGACGGUACCUAAUCAGAAAGCCACGGCUAACUACGUG
rnacentral:rRNA from 1 species